rnacentral:rRNA from 1 species
UGGGGGAUAUUGCACAAUGGGGGGAACCCUGAUGCAGCGACGCCGCGUGAGUGAAGAAGUCAUUCGUGAUGUAAAGCUCUAUCAGCAGGGACGAAAGAAGACGGUACCUGAGUAAGAAGCCCCGGCUAACUACGUGCCAGCAGCCGCGGUAAUACGUAGGGGGCAAGCGUUAUCCGGAUUUACUGGGUGUAAAGGGAGCGUAGACGGUGCAACAAGUCUGGAGUGAAAACCCAUGGCUCAACCAAGGGAUUGCUUUGGAAACUGUUGAGCUGGAGUGCAGGAGGGGUAAGCGGAAUUCCUGGUGUAGCGGUGAAAUGCGUAGAUAUCAGGAGGAACACCGGCGGCGAAGGCGGCUUACUGGACUGCAACUGACGUUGAGGCUCGAAGGCGUGGGGAGCAAACAGG